GAGACGACACGGCCGCACCCGCUGCGACCACCCACCCCAUCCAGUCGACAGGCACCAUGCCUCUCCUCGCCCGCGCACCGCCGCUCCACUCCCACCGUCUCCCCGCCGGCCUCCUCCCACACUCGGUGUUGGCGGCCAAACCCCACCGCCGGCCCCCCUCCUCCCGCGUCGGCGCCUCCAAUUCCGAACCUCCGCAGCAGCAGGUCAACCUCUCCGUCCUCCGCUUCACCCUCGGGAUCCCGGGGCUGGACGAGUCGUACCUCCCGAGGUGGAUAGGCCUCGGCUUCGGCGCCCUCGUCAUCCUCAACCACGUCCUCUCCCCGUCCCCCACGCCAGCUCAGCUCAGGUCCGAGGCUCUGGGGCUGUGCCUAGCCGCGUUCUCGGCGACGCUGCCGUUCCUCGGGAGGUUCCUGGAGGGCGCUGAUGCUGCCGGCCGUGUGCCGUUGCCCGUGGGGAGCAGGCAGGUGUUCGUGAUGUCUGAGAAUCUGUCGGCGGCACAGAAGGAGGAGAUGGCGUGGGUGUCGUACGUUCUGCUACGGAACACAAAUACCACAUCUGUGCUCAUAGCAAUUGGGGAUGUGUUGUGCAUACGAGGAUAUUGGGAUCCACCUGCAGAUACUUCGAAAUAUGCCAUGAUUGAGUGGUUCAAAAGUCAGAUGCAACAAGUUGGACUUGUUGAUUUGAGGGAUGCUUUGUACUUCCCUAAUUUUUCAGACACACGGCUUGGGAAGAUUCUGCCAGAUGGGGUCCUUUCUGUGUUAGCUCAACCUGUUCUUAGCAGUCCCGAUCGAGCUAAUGGCGAAACAAAAACUGAAGGGGUCAUACUGCUGGCCUCCAAUGCAAAUUAUGCAUAUAGUGAAAAAGAUAGGGUUUGGAUAAGAACAGUUGCAAAUAAAUUUCAGCGUUCCUAGUUCAGAGAUACCAAAGGGCUCAAUUUGCUACUAUACACCUGCUUCGAAGCUGGAGUUUGCAACUUCAAAACUACAGUUCUCUUGAUGGUUGAGCUGAUUGGUGCCAACUAGAAUUUCCUGACCUUGAAUUUUGUCAUUCAAAAAUACAAUAACUUUUCUCAUCGGACAUCAUCUCAUCUAUACUACCAAAGUGAGUGUAUCAUUUACCUUCAAGCGCACUACCUUCCACAUGGUUGAAAUUCUAAUCUUUCUGUGUGGCAUUGAACAUGGUUUGCGUCAUGUAUUGAUAUGAAAAUGUAGACCUGGCAUUUGAGUAGUUUGGGAAACAUAAUUCUGUGCUACCAGACUAUUAGUUUCUGAGACUUAUUUCUGGCUUUCUGAUGAGCUAUUUAUUACACUAGAAAUUUAGUCCUUACGGUGGCAAUAUUGGUGAUGCUGCUAUUCUAACUUCUGCAUUUUCCGCUAUUGCAGCGCACGAUCUCCUGUCCAACAUAUAGUUUGUAACUCUCUGUGCCUACAAUUUUGAAAUAUAUCCUAGCAUGCUUCUGCUAGCAGUGCUAAAUCAACCCCCUUUGGUUAGAUGGAAUAUGAAUUAGAAUGCCUUAUAGGUCGUGUCAGUGGAAAAUUCUUUCCUGGCUGAAGCUAAGAAAAUUAUCUGAACAUUGGGUUCACAUUUGAAUACUGAACUUACAAGCAUGCUAUAUUAUAUCAGGUCACAGAAAUUUGACUACCCAUUUGAAUUCUCAUGAAAUGCAGUAGGUGAAUAAGAGAGGGCCUCAUAUGAUAGUAUGAAGGUAUAAUCCAAAAAUAUUUUCUUACCACUUUGUAAAUAUCUGACCUAAUCUGGAUGGCACCUUCUGAUGACUGAUGACACGCCCCAGAUAUGCAAAGCAUGUAGUUGUGCUUCCCUCCUGGUACUACUUGGUUGGGUACAUUUAUUGCUGAUGGGUACUAGCAUACUUCUAAGAAUUCUUUUGGCUUUUUCUCACUGCAAGGGACAAAUCUUAGGACCUGAUUGGAUAGACUAUGACUUCAAAGCUUCUGUUUAGCUGAGGAAGCGGUUGUGACUGUUGAAUUUUGGUUGUCGAUUUUUAUAAUAAACUUUUAGCUUCUCAGCACACCCAAAAGCCAGAAAAGUCGGCCAGAACUUGCUUCUCAACUUUUAGUUUAUUUUAGCUAUAAUCGCUUCCUCAGGCAGCUAAAAGCCACCAAAAGCUAGGGCCAGAAGCCAGCCGUUUAGAUAGCUUCUGGGUUUUUUCAGGAAAAAGCUAAAAAAAUCUAUCCAAACAAGGGGUUAGAACUCUUAACUGAUUCUACUUGUAUAGAUUUACUGAUAGUUGUUUUGAAUAACAAUAGUGUAUAUAUUAUAUGUGUUAGGACAAUCAUCUAUUGGGAGGAUAGGCAGGUGGCAUCGGUUGUUAAUAGAGGGGUUAGACCAUAGAUUGAGGAGAUAACAUAUUGAAGGAGACUAGAGAAUGGGACAUAGUAACUAGAUCUAUUCUUCUUGUUUGAUUACAAUAGAUGUUGCGUCGUCCUUUAUAUAAGAGUCGGCUCUAAUAAUCUAAACUAACAAAUCUUAUCUUUAAGACUAACUAAUAGAUCUUAUGUAGGGUUAGAUGAAAAGCUCGAAGCUCGCGAGCUAGCUCAAAUUGUGUCUGGCUCGGCUUGGCUUGGCUCAUUCCAAAAUCUAAUGAACCGAGCCGGAGUUUUAAUUCGUUUAGAUAACGAGCCAGCUCGCGAGCCAAACGAGCCAGAUCCAUCAUCUAUAUCAUAUCGCUCCCUUUCACUAUGGUCAUCAGUUUGCUCAUUGGUCAUCUUCAUCUUUAAUGAAGAGGCUCCUCGACAGCCUACUUAACUUUUUAUUGGUCAGUUCCUCGUUAUGAUACAACUCUUAUCUUUUUUCUUCUCCCAUCGAUCAUUCAGGCUUUGCAUGUAUAGAUGGAUGUGUGGGGAACGUUUCAUAUAUUUUUCUGAGGAAUGUUUUGUUCCAUAGCAGAACAUAUAUAGGUAGAUCUGUUUGCUGUUGUGCUGCAUGUGGGUUUAAAAAUUUUUCAAAAGAGAUUCAGCUUACAACAACUAUACCUAUGGUUAAACCAUGCAAAGAAAUAUUAUACUUAUAGAUGUCAUUGCUAUUGUUGUAUGAUUUUAUCGAUAUAUUUUGCAGUGGAUGUUUAUAUUCUUUUCAUCCUAAUAACGAGCUGCUCCCUUAAAAAAAAAGUAACAAGCUGCUCGUGAGUUGAACAAGCUGACUCGCGAGCUAAACGAGCCGAGCCGAGCCACGCUGACUUUUCUACUCGUUAUAUUAAACGAGCCAAACGAGCCGAGCUCAAACGAGCUGAGCUGGCUUGUUAUCCAGCCAUAAUCUUAUCUCUAAAUAAUCUAAUCCAUCUCUAACAUGUGCUACAGUAACAAGAGGCUACAAUAUCUGUCCUUGAACAGUAAUUCUAACACAUAACAGCUUCACCCCUCCUUGCAAGAUUGCUCGUUCUCGAGCUGUGGUGGCGGCCAUGACGAUAUAGAUCCCUUCACUGCUGGAGGAAUAGAACCAUAGCUGUAUUCGGAACCUACCAUCUAUGAUACCAAAUGUUAGGGUAAACAACCGGCUGCUAGAGAAGAGAUUAGACCAUAUAUCGAGGAAUCAACAUGUUGAGGGAGACUAGAGAAGGGUACUGGGAACUAGAUAUAUUCUUCUUGCUUAAUUACUAUAGGUGUUGCGCCCUUCUUUAUAUAGGAGUCGGUCCUAACAAUCUAAACUAACAAAUCUUAUCUCUAAGACUAUCUAAUAGAUUUUAUCUCUAAUUAAUCUAAUCUGAUCCCUAAUUUGAUCUCUAAUCGGUGCUAUAGUAAUGCGUGGCUGCUGUAGCAGCAGGUUAGAGAUGAGAUUAGUUAGAGAUAAGAUUUGUUAGUUUAGAUUGUUAGAGUCAGCUCCUAUGUAAAGGAGAGCGCAACCCCCAUUGUAAUCAAGCAAGAAGAAUAUAUCUAGUUUUCAGUCCCCUUCUCUAAUCUUUCCUAAUAUGAUAUCUCUCCAAUAUAUUGUCUAAUCCCUCCCUUAGCAGCUGAUGUCGUUCGGCUAUCCUCUAGGUAGAUAAUUAUCCUAACAGUAUGAGUGUAUCGUCUGAGAUGGAUGAGGAUUAAGGAUUUACACGGUGAAGAUGGAUUAACUUUUCAAGAGUUGGUUCAGUAUCACCAUUUGCUGUAGCGGAACGAUGCUUGGAUGACAUUUUUAGUAGGACCAUGUUUUCCUUCCAGGAUCCAGGAUGAUAUACUGACCUGGUGAUAGUGUCGGCAUGUGCUAGUAGGAAUUUCAAAUCAUUAAGGGAAGCAAUCAAUGGAACUUGUUGUAUCUUCAAGAGGAGUGAUAUGAGCCUCCAUCUCUAUUGUGCUUUGCUGAGUCCAAUUUAACCUGUUGCCUGGUCUGUAGGGAAUUCAAUUUUAGCACUCACUUUAUCAGUGUCCAUGUGCACUUACAUAUCGGCAUUGUGUAUAAUUAAGUCUCUUUUCA